rnacentral:rRNA from 1 species
UGACCGCUGGCGGCGUGCCUAAUACAUGCAAGUCGAGCGAACAGACGCGGAGCUUGCUCCUCUGACGUUAGCGGCGGACGGGUGAGUAACACGCGGAUAACCUACCUAUAAGACUGGGAUAACUUCGGGAAACCGGAGCUAAUACCGGAUAAUAUAUUGAACCGCAUGGUUCAAUAGUGAAAGACGGUUUUGCUGUCACUUAUAGAUGGAUCCGCGCCGCAUUAGCUAGUUGGUAAGGUAACGGCUUACCAAGGCGACGAUGCGUAGCCGACCUGAGAGGGUGAUCGGCCACACUGGAACUGAGACACGGUCCAGACUCCUACGGGAGGCAGCAGUAGGGAAUCUUCCGCAAUGGGCGAAAGCCUGACGGAGCAACGCCGCGUGAGUGAUGAAGGUCUUCGGAUCGUAAAACUCUGUUAUUAGGGAAGAACAAAUGUGUAAGUAACUAUGCACGUCUUGACGGUACCUAAUCAGAAAGCCACGGCUAACUACGUG